UCAGUACACAUUGUUGACUCUCUCCACAAAAUAAACGGAAGGAUGAGAGGAAAUCAAGAAGACUCUAUCCGGCAUCUGCCUCUCCACCCCUCAUGAUUCCGUCGACUCUAGUUCGAUCUGCGUAAUGAAAAUCAUCUUGGAAUUUUUGAAUGCAUUCAAGUUCAAACUGGUAGCUAAAGGAAGCAGAUUGCAUACACAAACAUCACAGCAAUUGAGCAAAAGAUUGCAAAUCACCGAGUAAGUAAUAAUUUCAGAUUAUUUGAAUCAAAAAAAGCAGGUAUGUUUCCACAUUACCUUCUCCUUCAACCUGCAAUUUCCUUUUUCUACAAAUGAUAUUUGUACUCUUCAGUUUUUGCAUUGUUGUUGAUAUUGCUUGAUAUGUAUUUGGAGGCAAUUGAAUUUAUAUUCCAGUAAUUAGGAAAUAGAAAUCUGGUUCAUUAAAUGUUAGGUAUAUAUAGAUACAAAUUCUAUACUUGUAUAGGAGUCACUAUAAAAAAAUUAUGCUAAGGAGUCAAACCUUACCAUCAACAAUUAAUGCUUGACAAUAGGAAUAGGUGUAUGGCUAGUAUUGGGUAUUGUGUAACUUAUAUUCUACUCAUACUUUUCAGUGUUUUUGUUGUUAUAAUUUUUAUAUCAGCAGAUAAAUAUUCAAAAAUAGAGUCAAAUGAUGAAAAAAGGAGGCUGAUGCCAAUUUUUUCCUGUGUUGCAGCCACAGAUCAAAAUAAGAUGUGUGUGUGUGUGUCUUUAUGUAGAUAAGUUAGGGUUUAGACACCCAUUACAGUACAAUACCAUAGAUAAGACACUCACCAAAAACCCAAAUAGAGACAUUCUACUUCCUAAGAAUUCAUAACAACACCCAGAAUAUUCAAACCUUAAGGAUCAAAAUAGAGCAAGACAUUACACCACACACAUAACACAGCAAAACACCAACAACCAUUACAAAACCACAGGAUCCUUAGGUAUUUGUACGUGGAUGAACACACCCUAUAUUUAAAGCACACAACAGAAAAAUUAAUUAAACAAACUGAUUUGUAGUGAAAAAUGAACCAAUAUAGAAAUGCUAUUAUAUGAAAAAUGAACCAAUAUAGAAUGUUAUUAUAUGAAAUACUGACCUGUAGAUCAUGCUUCUCGCUUGUUUUCACAGACUAAGUAAUUGCAAACACAACACAAUCUUAUAGCUUUGUUGGUCUGCUGAGGAUGCAGCUGGGCAGCCACAAUAAAUUGGCCAGACAUGCUUAACACAGAAGGAUGGCAACCACAAAUUGCAAUUUGAUUUCUAGGUUCUUUGAUCUCAAAGAAGUGCAGAAUAUCUCACACUUGUAUUGUAUUUUCUCUAAGCUUUUGGUUUUCAUAGAAGAUAUGUAGAGAGUAUAUGUAGGUAUUUAUAAACUUACAGGCAGCUGGAUAAGGGAUUAUAAAAUAGAUUAAAUCGGUAGUGGGAAAACAUACCCAUACCCUGCAAAGAUUA